GUGCUCGCUUCGGCAGCACAUAUACUAAAAUUGGGACAAUACAGAGGAGGUUCGUAUGGCUCCUGCACAAGGAUGACAUGCAAAUUCCUGAAGCAUUCCAUAUUUAA
rnacentral:snRNA from 1 species